GCUUCCGUAGUAGACUCCAUAAUGCUGACUCUCUUUUUCCAGGUUUCAGCAUUGCUGACCUUGGCUCCCUGGGUGCUAUUCUUAGUUUGUGCUGUGGUGUUAGAGAGAUACCUGAGAGGAUGCAGGGGCUGGGCUUCUUGCUGCUGCCAUGAUUGCUGUAGUCCCUGGAUAUAUCUCCCGAUCUGUGGCUGGCUCCUAUGAUAAUGAAGGGAUUGCCAUCUUUUGCAUGCUGCUCACCUACUACAUGUGGAUCAAGGCAGUAAAGACUGGUUCCAUCUGUUGGGCAGCUAAGUGUGCCCUUGCUUAUUUCUACAUGGUCUCGUCAUGGGGAGGUUAUGUGUUCCUGAUCAACUUGAUUCCUCUCCACGUCCUGGUGCUGAUGCUCACAGGCCGUUUCUCUCACCGGAUCUACGUGGCCUACUGCACUGUUUACUGCCUGGGCACUAUACUUUCUAUGCAGAUCUCCUUUGUGGGUUUCCAG
rnacentral:sRNA from 1 species